UUCCAGACUCCUACGGGAGGCAGCAGUGGGGAAUAUUGGACAAUGGGGGGAACCCUGAUCCAGCGACGCCGCGUGAGUGAAGAAGUAUUUCGGUAUGUAAAGCUCUAUCAGCAGGGAAGAAAGAAAUGACGGUACCUGACUAAGAAGCCCCGGCUAACUACGUGCCAGCAGCCGCGGUAAUACGUAGGGGGCAAGCGUUAUCCGGAUUUACUGGGUGUAAAGGGAGCGUAGGUGGCAUGGUAAGCCAGAAGUGAAAACCCAGGGCUCAACUCUGUGGAUUGCUUUUGGAACUAUCAAGCUAGAGUGCUGGAGGGGUAAGCGGAAUUCCUAGUGUAGCGGUGAAAUGCGUAGAUAUCAGGAGGAACGCCGGCGGCGAAGGCGGCCUGCUGGACCGUGACUGACGUUGAGGCUCGAGAGCGUGGGGAGCAAACAGGAUUAGAUACCCUUGUAC
rnacentral:rRNA from 1 species